AGAGAGAGACAUGCGCGCAUAUCAAUAAGCGGAGGAAAAGAAACUAACAAGGAUUCCCUUAGUAACGGCGAGUGAAGCGGGAAGAGCUCAAAUUUGAAAUCUUCAAGGUUUUACCUUGACGAAUUGUAGUUUAAAGAAGUGUUUUCUGCUGAAGUUUUGGUAAAAGUUCUUUGGAAUAGGACAUCAUAGAGGGUGAGAAUCCCGUAUUUGACCAUUAUUUCAGCUUUGUGAUACACUUUCAAAGAGUCGGAUUGUUUGGGAAUGCAGUCCAAAAUGGGUGGUAAAUUUCAUCUAAAGCUAAAUAUUGGCGAGAGACCGAUAGCGAACAAGUACCGUGAGGGAAAGAUGAAAAGAACUUUGAAAAGAGAGUUAAACAGUACGUGAAAUUGUCAAAAGGGAAGCGUUUGACACCAGUGUUGUUUUCUCGAAAAUCAAUUAAAAAUGGCUCGAUUUUGUAUUGCUUGAGACCUUAAAAGCUCACUGUACAUUUUUCGUGUCUUUUUAAUGCACUUUUCGUUUAACAAGUCAACAUCAGUUUCUUUUGUUGUAAAAGGGUCAUUGGAAGGUGGCUUUCUUUUCGGAGAAAGUGUUUAUAGCCUUUGGCCUCUGCAAUCGGAGAGACUGAGGUCUGCAGCGUAGACUCUUCGGGGUUAGAUACAUUUGUGCUAAGUUAUAGCUUUUUAUAGACAACUUGUUGACUAUAAUUAGUCUUGUAGCUUACUCGCUUAUGCUAUUUUACCUACGCUUAGGAUGUUGAAGAUGUAGCACAUCAU
rnacentral:rRNA from 1 species